rnacentral:rRNA from 1 species
UGGAAAUUUGAGAGGAUCUGCUCCUAGUACGAGAGGACCAGAGUGGACGAACCUCUGGUGUACCGGUUGUGACGCCAGUCGCAUCGCCGGGUAGCUAUGUUCGGAAGGGAUAACCGCUGAAAGCAUCUAAGCGGGAAGCCUACCUCAAGAUAAGAUUUCCCUGUGACUUUAUGUCACCUAAAGAGCCGUUCAAGACCAGGACGUUGAUAGGUUGGAUGUGGAAGCAUAGUGAUAUGUGAAGCUGACCAAUACUAAUUGCUCGUGAGGCUUGACUAUACAACACCCAAACAGUUG